CAGUAGCCGCGGUAAUACGUAGGUGGCAAGCGUUGUCCGGAAUUAUUGGGCGUAAAGGGCUCGCAGGCGGUUUCUUAAGUCUGAUGUGAAAGCCCCCGGCUCAACCGGGGAGGGUCAUUGGAAACUGGGAAACUUGAGUGCAGAAGAGGAGAGUGGAAUUCCACGUGUAGCGGUGAAAUGCGUAGAGAUGUGGAGGAACACCAGUGGUGAAGGCGACUCUCUGGUCUGUAACUGACGCUGAGGAGCGAAAGCGUGGGGAGCGAACAGGAUUAGAUACCCGAGUAGUCCCUGUCUCUUAUAC
rnacentral:rRNA from 1 species